AUUGAACGCUGGCGGCGUGCUUAACACAUGCAAGUCGAUCGGUAACAGGUGUAGCAAUACAUGCUGACGAGAGGCGGACGGGUGAGGAAUAUUUGGGAAUCUGCCCAUCAGCGGGGGACAACCCGGGGAAACCCGGGCUAAUACCGCAUACGCUCUACGGAGGAAAGCCGGGGACCGCAAGGCCUGGCACUGAUGGAUGGGCCCAAAUCGGAUUAGCUAGUUGGCGGGGUAACGGCCCACCAAGGCGACGAGCCGUAGUUGGUCUGAGAGGACGAUCAGCCACACCGGAACUGAGACACGGUCCGGACUCCUACGGGAGGCAGCAGUGGGGAAUAUUGGACAAUGGGGGAAACCCUGAUCCAGCGACGCCGCGUGGGUGAAGAAGGCCUGCGGGUUGUAAAGCCCUUUCGGUAGGGACGAAAGCUCUUGCUCUAAUAAUGCAAGAGGUUGACUUAACCUACAUAAGAAGCACCGGCUAACUCUGUGCCAGCCGCCGCCGUAA
rnacentral:rRNA from 1 species